rnacentral:rRNA from 1 species
GAACGAGGAUAUAUCCUUCGGGAUAUAAGCCGAGUGGCACAAGGGUGAGCAAUGCAUAGAUUACCUACCUUUAGGAUAAGGGCAACUUUGUGAAAACGGAGCUAAUACUUAAUAAUACAAAAGAAAAUAAUUUUCUUUUGUCAAAGGGAGGGUAGCAAUACCUUUCGCCUAGAGAGGGGUUUAUGUCCUAUCAGCUUGUUGGUGGGGUAAUGGCCUACCAAGGCGAAGACGGGUAGCCGGUCUUAGAGGAUGGUCGGCCACACUGGGACUGAGACACUGCCCAGACUUCUACGGAAGGCUGCAGUCGAGAAUCUUUCGCAAUGCCCGAAAGGGUGACGAAGCGACGCCGCGUGAGUGAGGAAGGCCUUCGGGUUGUAAAGCUCUGUCAGGAGUUAAGAAAUGUAAGUGUGCUAAUACCACAUUUACUUGACGAAGGCUCCAAAGGAAGCCACGGCUAACUCUGUGCCAGCAGCCGCGGUAACACAGAGGUGGCAAGCGUUGUUCGGAAUUAUUGGGCGUAAAGAGCACGUAGGUGGGUUUGUAAGUCAGAUGUGAAAGCCUUCUGUUCAACGGAAGAAUUGCAUCUGAAACUGCAAGUCUUGAGUGUAGGAGGGGGGAAUGGAACUUCUGGUGGAGCGGUGAAAUGCGUAGAUAUCAGAAGGAACGCCGGCGGCGAAAGCGAUUCUCUGGCCUAUUACUGACACUCAGUGUGCGAAAGCUAGGGGAGCAAACGGGAUUAGAUACCCCGGUAGUCCUAGCCGUAAACGAUGGGCACUAAGUAGAGGGAAUUACCGAUGUUCUCUCUGCCGUAGCUAACGCAUUAAGUGCCCCGCCUGGGGAGUACGGCCGCAAGGCUAAAACUCAAAAGAAUUGACGGGGGCUCGCACAAGCGGUGGAGCAUGUGGCUUAAUUCGAUGCAACGCGAAAAACCUUACCGGGGCUUGACAUGGUAGAAGUAGGAACCCGAAAGGGUAACGAACGGUAUCCAGUCCGUAGCUAUCACAGGUGUUGCAUGGCUGUCGUCAGCUCGUGUCGUGAGACGUUGGGUUAAGUCCCCUAACGAGCGAAACCCUUGUUUUUAGUUACCAGCGGGUUAUGCCGGGUACUCUAGAAAGACUGCCGUCGUCAAGACGGAGGAAGGUGGGGAUGACGUCAAGUCAUCAUGGCCCUUAUGCCCCGGGCUGCACACGUGCUACAAUGGUCGGUACAAACGGAAGCGAAGCCGAGAGGUGGAGCGAAUCCUAAAAAGCCGAUCUCAGUUCGGAUUGGAGGCUGAAAUUCGCCUCUAUGAAGUUGGAAUCGCUAGUAAUCGCGGAUCAGCAUUGCCGCGGUGAAUAUGUUCCCGAGCCUUGUACACACCGCCCGUCAAGCCACCCAAGCAGGAUGCACCCGAAAACAUUAUAUCUAACCAGGCUUGCCUGGAGGAAAGUGUUGAAGGAGUGUUUUGUGA